UACGGGGGGGGCAAGCGUUGUUCGGAAUUACUGGGCGUAAAGCGUGCGUAGGUGGUUCGUUAAGUCUGAUGUGAAAGCCCUGGGCUCAACCUGGGAAUGGCAUUGGAUACUGGCGAUCUAGAGUGCGGUAGAGGGCAGUGGAAUUCCCGGUGUAGCAGUGAAAUGCGUAGAGAUCGGGAGGAACAUCUGUGGUGAAGGCGACUGCCUGGACCAGCACUGACACUGAGGCACGAAAGCGUGGGGAGCAAACAGG
rnacentral:rRNA from 1 species